UGACAUAAGAUUUAUUGACUUUAUAUCAGCAUUUAAGUGUUGUUAACUUUAUGUAAUAGCAUUUAGGUUAAGGAUUAGUGCACUUCCUGUUUGUAUAAAGAAUAGCUGUAUUAUGUUAGGCAUAAUUAUGACCUUAUUAUUGAUUGUCUUAUUUGAAGAUUGUGUAUGAGUCCAGGAGAUGUGUACGGGUUCAAGUUGACAAAGGGUGAACUCGUGAUAGUUAAUAUUGAAUGUCAACUUGAUUGGAUUGAAGGAUGCAAAGUAUCAUUCCUGGGUGUGUCUGUGAGGGCGUUACCAAAGGAGAUUAACAUUUGAGUCAGUGGACUGGGAGAGGCUGACCCGCUCUCAAUCUUGGUGGUAUGGUACCAUCUAAUCAGCCUCCAGCAUAGCUAGAAUAAAGCAGCUAGAAGUUGGAAGACUUGCUGAGUCUUCCAGCCUUUAUCUUUCUUCUGGACUGGAUGCCUCCUGCCCUCAAAUAUCAGACUCCAUGUUAUUCAGCUUUUGGACUCAGACUUACACCAGUGAUUUGCCAGAGGCUUAGGGGCCUUCAGCCACAGACUGAAGGCUGCACUGUUGGCUGCCCUACUUCUGAGGUUUUAGGACUCAGACUGGCUUCCUUGCUCCUCAGCUUGCAGAUGGCCUAUUAUGGGACUUUGCCUUGUGUUUGUGUGAGUCAGUAUUCCUUAAUAAAUGCUCCUUCAUAUAUACAUCCAUCCUAUUAGUUCUCUCCCUCUUGAGAACCCUGACUAAUACAGGUUUCAAGGAAAGCAUGGCUACCUUGCAAUGGAAUUGAGAGUAAAUAAACAUGGCCCAGAAAUCCUGUAUUUACGGAGAAGAAAAAAUAACCCUAUAUCGAGAAAAUUUCUAUUAGCAUGGACUAAAAAUGAUGUGACUUUUUGAAAUAUAAAACUGUCUCCAGUCUCCUCCUACCCCAACCUUCUAAAGGAGGGUGCAGGCUGAGAGGGUGGCUCAGUCACCAAAUAAGGCAUAUUCUCCAAUGCCCUCUUUAGAAGCGACCAAGGGGGAUUUUGGCUAAGGACUUUCCAAAGGGUGGAGCCAAAAACCACAGAGAAAUAAUGAACUGAGAUUUGGGAAGCUAUGCCCUGGGAGCAGUAAUGGAGGUCUGAGCCAGUAAGAAUAUUCCCUUCUCCCAAGGUAGGGGAAUGUGGCAACAUUCAUUGACCAGGAUUUCACAGUGGCUAUAAACCAUGGUGCACCUCACUCUUUUCAUAUGAAAAUGAUGCCAGCCGGGGAUGAGAUUUGAAAGGAUCUUGGGAUGGAUGUGAGCACCUGUGGGAGGGAUGUGAACAAUGGUAAUGGAAAGCAGACUGGGGUUGAUUGAAUUAUUGGUGCCAGUUCUUUUUUCCCUCAUAUGAGAAUUAGAAAUAACACAUUUUUGCCAUCUUCUCAUAACAAGCAGAGGGUGUUUUCCCACCUCUCACGUUUGGCUGGGCCAUGUGACUAGCUUUGGCCAAUCAGAAGUUAUCAGACAUGAAGCAAGCAGAUGCUUACAAUGUGCUGUGUGGUUGCACUCACUCUCCUGCCCACUACAAGACUCCCAUGAGAAGAGCUUCCCCCUGUAGCAGAUACCCUGUCAACCUGGGCUCCAAAAUGAACACAAUGCAACAUACCUGAGCCGGGACCUGCAACCUGCAGCCAAGGCCAGUUUACCUGAAGCCAAAAGCAGAGUCUCAUGCCAGAUAACCUGCAAACAUAAGCAAAAGAAGUAAAUGUUUCUUGUUUUCUGUCACACGAUUUAAUGUUUGUUAUGCAGCUUUAUUUAGGCAAUAGCAGACUAAGAUAUGUAUUUUCCCAUGUCAUUUUAUAUUCUUUAAAUAUCACUCUUGUAAAUACAUUGAUUCCACUGAAAAAUUUCACUUAGUUAACUAUUUCCUGAUUCUGAAAUAUUAGUUUUUUUCCUAAAUCUAUUUUUGACCUCUAUUUUUUGUUUCUUAUAACAAUGCUAUUAAUAAGAUAUUAAUGCAUAAUGUUGUCCAUACUUUGAUUUAUUUUCAUAGGGUUGAAACUAGAUAAUAACAUCUGCUUCACAGGGCUGUUGUGAUGAUUAAAAGACUUAAAAAAUUAAGUGCUGAGCAUAUUAUCUUUCAGGUAAUAAGCAUUCAGUAAUGAUUGUUGUUGUUUUUUGUUGUAGAGUUCCAAAAGUUGGAAAAACAAUUUAAAGCUCUUAAUAUUUUCCAAAAGUUAUAUCAAUUUAUACUGCUAACAGCAUCAUAUGAGUUUUAGCAUACCUUCAAACAACUCCAUUAUUUUAACUUUGGCUAUUUUGAGAGUUGAGAACUAACAUCUUGCUGAUAUUUUAAUUUUUAUUGUUUUUAUUACAAGUGAGGUAGAAAUUCUUAUAAAUUGUCUAACCAUUUAUAUUUUCUCUUCUGCAAAUUACCAGGUAACAUGUCCAUUUAACAUGUUCAUUUCCAUCCAGUCAUGAUGUUGGUCUUCCUCUGACCUGAUAGGCUUACCUGAUGCCAAAGACCUGAUUGAUUUUCAUGCUGUUCAAUAUAAUAGUCACCUGUGGCAACUGGACACUUGAAGUGUUUCUAAUGCCACAAGUUGAUAUGAUAAUAUUUUUUAUAUACUCUUUUUUUUGUUGCCUGAAUUCAUAAUCGUGAAGCUCAUUUGCCUUAGGGAAGUAUCUGCAGCACAUCUUUAAUGCCAGACCAGCUCCUUCCGCUGUUCUUGCCCCUUUCCAGCAAGCUACUUCCCACCUCCCCCAACAUCCCCAUGGCUGCCCAGGAAUUAAAAGCAAUUUGAAUAUGUAAUCAUGUGGAAUAAUAAACACAAGUGUACUCUCUGGGGUGCUCUCUGGCUGCUACUGUCUCUUUGCAACUAGUUUCCUAAGUGCCUUUGAGAGAUGCUGAGAACGCCAUGUUGACAGUUAACCUUUUAACAGUUUUGCCAUUUUCUGUUCACCCUGGCUACAAGCCCAGCUCUAAAGGAGGCACAGGAAGUGGGGUGAAGGAAGGGUUUCCUUCCUUCUAAGACUCACUGGAGACACAUUCUCCAUAGCCUGAGGAAGAGAGUUGGGCAGGCUUUGAAUAGUGUAUUUUUAAAACAUUCAUUAUUCUGACAAUGGAGUUUCAUGAAACUAGCUUUUAUUCCUUGUAUUCAAGUUAAAUAGAGAUUUUUCAAAACACAUUACCAUACCAGGAAGUAAAUAACUAUUGCCUUGUUUUAUGAAUAUGAGAAAUUUCUGUGAAAAUGCCUAAAUAUUUUGAUUUAUUUAAAAGUAGAUGAGCUGAUGUGUAGGUAUUUACAACAUCAAAGUACUUUGAUUGAAUCAGUUUCAAAAAUGCAACAUAAAAGGUAGAGCAUUCAUCUUAAAUAGCAAUUUAGAAGUGGUUGCUUUGGGUAUUCUGUGGCUUUCAAAAUCUGAUUAUUUUGAUACUGAUACUGAUGUUUUGAUGCAAACACUAGAGUGAUCAAUUUGGUGGAUGUGAGGGAAGGACCUCCCUCUGUAUCUAGCACUCCUUAUUAAAAUGUAAAAGCACCCACUGUACCCCUUGAAUAUAUGAGAAUAAUGAACAGUACCAGUAAAUAUCUCAAUUGCAAU